rnacentral:rRNA from 1 species
CAGUCGCCGCGGUAAUACAGAGGGUGCGAGCGUUAAUCGGAUUUACUGGGCGUAAAGCGUGCGUAGGCGGCUUUUUAAGUCGGAUGUGAAAUCCCCGAGCUUAACUUGGGAAUUGCAUUCGAUACUGGGAAGCUAGAGUAUGGGAGAGGAUGGUAGAAUUCCAGGUGUAGCGGUGAAAUGCGUAGAGAUCUGGAGGAAUACCGAUGGCGAAGGCAGCCAUCUGGCCUAAUACUGACGCUGAGGUACGAAAGCAUGGGGAGCAAACAGGAUUAGAGACCCGAGUAGUCCCUGUCUCUUAUAA